UACAGAGGUCUCGAGCGUUGUUCGGAUUCAUUGGGCGUAAAGGGUGCGUAGGUGGCGCUGUAAGUCAGGUGUGAAAUUUCGGAGCUUAACUCCGAAACUGCAUUUGAUACUGCGGUGCUUGAGGACUGGAGAGGAGACUGGAAUUUACGGUGUAGCAGUGAAAUGCGUAGAGAUCGGGAAGAACAUCAGUGGCGAAGGCGGUCUGCUGGGCCGUUGCUGACGCUGAGGCGCGACAGCGUGGGGAGCAAACAGG
rnacentral:rRNA from 1 species